CCUACGGGUGGCAGCAGUGAUGAAUAUUGGUCAAUGGACGAGAGUCUGAACCAGCCAAGUAGCGUGAAGGAUGACUGCCCUAUGGAUUGUAAACUUCUUUUAUAUGGGAAUAAAACAGGGUAUGCAUACCCUCUGGUAUGUACCAUAUGAAUAAGGCUCGGCUAACUCCGUGCCAGCAGCCGCGGUAAUACGGAGGAUCCGAGCGUUAUCCGGAUUUAUUGGGUUUAAAGGGAGCGUAGGUGGAUUGUUAAGUCAGUUGUGAAAGUUUGCGGCUCAACCGUAAAAUUGCAGUGGAAACUGGCAGUCGUGAGUACAGUAGAGGUGGGCGGAAUUCGUGGUGUAGCGGUGAAAUGCUUAGAUAUCACGAAGAACUCCGAUUGCGAAGGCAGCUUACUGGACUGCAACUGACACUGAUGCUCGAAAGUGUGGGUAUCAAACGGGAUUAGAUACCCUAGUAGUU
rnacentral:rRNA from 1 species